AAGACUUUACCCUGAGUCAGGCUGACAAACAUCUAACACAACCUGGAAGAAGAAAGAAGCAGGUAUAUGUGGGAAGGAAGAUGAGAGGCAAUGAAAACAGAAAAAAGAUCCUGGCUUUUGUGCAUAAGAACUGGAGCAAAAGAACAUUUGUCAAGAAGGCCAAGGGGAGGCUGAAAAAAAUCAGGAGGAAGAGGAGGAGGAGGAGCAGGGGAAAAGGAGGAAGAGGAGGAGGAGAAGGAGGAGAAGGAAAAGGAGAAGGAGAAGGAGAAGAAAAGAAGAAGAAGAAGAAGAAGAAGAAGAAGAAGAAGAAGAAGAAGAAGAAGAAGAAGAAGAAGAAGAAGAAGAAGAAGAAGAAGAAGAAGGAGAGGAGGGGGAGCAGGAGGAGGGGGAGCAGGAGGAGGAGGAGAACAACAACAACAACAGCAACAACAACUACUCAAGAUUGAGCUCUGUUGUAUGUAGUUUUACACUCUAGCUGCCUUUAGCUCCAGGAAGUGACUAUGCUACCAACCCCUACCCGGCUUCCCUUGAAUCCUUGGAUAAAAGACAGACACACAGUUGUACAAUUUUAGCUUGACUUUGGACACUAUUUCUGGGUGCUGCUAUCCCCCACCUAGAAAAGCAUGUCCUUACCAAUUUUCUAUCUACAUCUCUCCACCUGCCUAAACUUCAGCUGCUAAACUCCCCUGACCAUCUUCCUGGAAGAGCAGCCUAUAUGGCCACUCUGUUUCAAGAUCUCACUUUGUUGCCUGGUUCUCUUCUCUCCAAAAUAUGGCAAACUUUGUCCUCCCUUGCAUCUCUCUGUCCCCUCCAGGGACCCAGAAGUCCUGCUUGUCCCUUCUACCCAGCAAUUGUCCCAUGGCUUUCUUUACUGACAGAUCAAGAACCAAUUGGGGAAUGGGACCUUAGCAUCAGAACAACUUCCUACAAAGCUAAGUGAUUUGCUGCCCAAUAAGUAGAUAGACAUUAACCAUACUCACAUAGAAAAUUACUACCCAAGUGACUGAAAUCUACUCAACUCUGUGGUAAUUUAAAUAUGAAUCAUCUAAAACAGGCUCAGGUGUUUAAACACUCAUUUGCCAGUUGGUGGUGCUGUUUGGAGACUUGUAGGAUGCACAAUCUUGCUGGAAGAAGUACAUCACUGUCUGUAGGCUUUGAGAUGAUAUACCCUUACAGUACUUCAAAUUCAUUCUCUCUUCUUUGUGUUAAUGAUUGAGAUGUGGCCUCUCAGUCAUAAAUCUCAUUUCUUCCAUUUCUUCCCUUUUGUCCUUGCUGGGAUGGGCUCUAAUCCCUCAGGAACCGUAAGCCAAAAUAAACGACUUUUUCCAUAAGC
rnacentral:lncRNA from 1 species